rnacentral:RNase_P_RNA from 1 species
CUAGUCAGCCCGAUGAUUGCUCCGGCUUUACGUCGGAGAGGAAAGUCCGGACACCCUAGUCGUGGCAGUCGUGAAAAUGACCGGGCAUACGCGGAACAGUCACAAAUUUCCGAUCGUAAUUUGUGACUGGUCAAUCGCCAAACCCAGGGAAAGCGCAACAGAAAGUAAACAGCCCACUUCCAAAUUUAUUUGGGAAGGCAAUGGUGAAACUGUGCCCCGAUGCUCAUAAAUUAAUUUUUAUUGGACAUCGGGAUCCCGACAGCGUCAGCUCGUCGGGGCGGUAAGAGCGCACACUUUUCUAUGGCGACAUAGAAUUGCGGCAAGCCCUGCCUGGUGCAAGUCCCCUAACGGACGUUUAGAUAGAUAAUCAUCAUCUGGUAUUAUUUUUAAAUAGUACUGGAACAGAAUCCGGCUUAUGACUGGCUGGGAUA